rnacentral:rRNA from 1 species
CCUACGGGCGGCAGCAGUGAGGAAUAUUGGUCAAUGGACGAGAGUCUGAACCAGCCAAGUAGCGUGAAGGAUGACUGCCCUAUGGGUUGUAAACUUCUUUUAUAAAGGAAUAAAACGAGGCACGUGUGCCUUUUUGCAUGGACUUUAUGAAUAAGGAUCGGCUAACUCCGUGCCAGCAGCCGCGGUAAUACGGAGGAUCCGAGCGUUAUCCGGAUUUAUUGGGUUUAAAGGGAGCGUAGAUGGGUUGUUAAGUCAGUUGUGAAAGUUUGCGGCUCAACCGUAAAAUUGCAAUUGAUACUGGCAGUCUAGAGUACAGGUGAGGUAGGCGGAAUUCGUGGUGUAGCGGUGAAAUGCUUAGAUAUCACGAAGAACCCCGAUUGCGAAGGCAGCUUACUAAACUGUGACUGACAUUGAUGCUCGAAAGUGUGGGUAUCAAACAGGAUUAGAUACCCGGGUAGUC